GGACUAUACUGUAGUUAGGUUCGGACUCAGAGGUGAUAUAAAGGCAUACAUCGCAUCCACUUGGUUCAACUUACCUGGAAGAUCGAAGAUCGAACACGACAAGAAAGAGCCUAAUCGGCUAAAGCUUCACGACACCACGCCACUUCUCCAACAUCAUGUCGGUGAAGUCGGUGUUGGAUACUGACAACUGUUGUAUUGGCCAAGAUAAGAAGAAUAUUAUUCUUCGAUGGCACGUAACAUCAUAAAUUGGCAACAAUCACUGGUAACAUUUACAACCCAAAAAACCAAUGGUGACUUCUUUUGGUUGAAUAUGACGAAGUAUUGGUAAACACAAGGGAAACAUUUAAGGAAUCUUCAUCACCCGCUGUCCUGAUUUAUAUCAAUUGUCUUUCACCGGAUACGAUAGUACGGAUCUUCGACUUCAAAACUAAUACUUGACAUAGAUCAAAAUGACGAUUGGACAUCGAUCGUUAACGCUGGUCCAAAUUAUUGAACGGCAAUAUAAUCUUAUUGCCUAUUAAUAUUUGAGAUCAAGCGGCGAUCUUCGUAGAAUUUGAAAAUAUUACGGAAAAUAUUUUCCGAAUAUUAACAGAAAUUGAUGAAUCUAAUAUA